rnacentral:rRNA from 1 species
CAGUAGCCGCGGUAAUACGUAGGGUGCAAGCGUUAAUCGGAAUUACUGGGCGUAAAGCGUGCGCAGGCGGUUAUAUAAGACAGAUGUGAAAUCCCCGGGCUCAACCUGGGAACUGCAUUUGUGACUGUAUAGCUAGAGUACGGCAGAGGGGGAUGGAAUUCCGCGUGUAGCAGUGAAAUGCGUAGAUAUGCGGAGGAACACCGAUGGCGAAGGCAAUCCCCUGGGCCUGUACUGACGCUAAUGCACGAAAGCGUGGGGAGCAAACAGGAUUAGAUACCCCGGUAGUCCCUGUCUCUUAUAC